UACGGAGGGUGCAAGCGUUAUCCGGAUUUACUGGGUUUAAAGGGUGCGUAGGUGGGCAGUUAAGUCAGUGGUGAAAUCUCCGAGCUUAACUCGGAAACUGCCAUUGAUACUAUCUGUCUUGAAUAUCCUGGAGGUGAGCGGAAUAUGUCAUGUAGCGGUGAAAUGCUUAGAUAUGACAUAGAACACCAAUUGCGAAGGCAGCUCACUACGGGGUUAUUGACACUGAGGCACGAAAGCGUGGGGGAUCAAACAGG
rnacentral:rRNA from 1 species